UGCCCGUUUAGACUGAUGACGAUGAUAAGGAUGAGGAUCCUGAGGAGUUCUUUGAGCUGAUACGCCAGACCGUGAGGAAGGCCGUUAGAACAACCAUUUCCGAAGUGGUUACACGAAAUUUUCGCGACUUGGCUGGCAAAACGGAACGCUUUUCGAAUGAACUGAGGAUGACCAAUGAAAAUUUGGGCAAGCUGCAAAGUGAAGUUACCAACAAGGUGACCCACUAUGGGGAGGAGAACACACGCCACUUUCGAUAUUUAUGCAUGAAAUCUGAAUACGAUAAGAUGUUUUAUCAACAGCAAGCAUUAACUGCCGGCAAGCGGCAGCCUCCGAAAGUGGCCCCAGGUCCAUCAGUUAACCCAAAUCCGACGCCAUCAGCGUUGCCCACACGAGUUGCCAAGCAGGCAGCUGCUUUUAAUUUGAAGGCCGCUAAACAGGUGACAGCCAGAAUAUUAAUGAUAGGCAAUUCACAUUAAAGUCAUAAUGACUGACUAUAUAAUCAAAAUUAUAUAUAUUAUAAAUAAAUAUUUAUCGUAGUCACUAUUUGCCUGCCUUAAAGCCAUCACGUCGGGAGUGUGGCACUUAGACUGGCAUUAAAAAUUCCAGAGGCGUACAAAAUCUGAGAAGUCACACUGCUGAUACAUCCACCCAUAAAGGUUCAAAGCCCACCCAAGCAAGCAACCGC